ensembl:lncRNA DENND3-AS1 DENND3 antisense RNA 1
UACAGGCAUGAGCCACCACACCCAGCCUUGGUGGCCUCAUUUUUAGCAGCCUCUGCAAAGCACACAGCCUGAAUCCGUCACCUAGAGUCCCCAGCAUGCAGGAGAGGCGCUCUCAACCCGGGCUGGAGCCAUGAGCCACUCCCUGAGGGCACACAGGGCCUGAGUCUGGCUCCUGUGUGUUGCUGUGUGACAGGUGAGCUCAACAGCCCUAAGCCGUGACUUCCUGAGGGGCAGUGGUCAAGAUCCAAGGGAGGUAAACACAUGGCAGCUCUUGCCACCAGGACCCAGUAAGGCUCACGCGAGAGCAGGUCUCUGCUGUCCCUUUAUCACCAAGAGGCCAAAUGCUUUAAGGAAGAGAGCUCCAGCAGUGCACAGAGCUUGCAAUCCACUCCUUUAUGCCCCCUUUUCCUCCUCCUUAAAACCAGAUAAUUGGGCCAGAUGACCUCUGAGGGGCUCCCAGUUCUGCACUUUUUAAUACGCUCCCGUCUCUCAUGCCACAGGUCCUUCCAAAGUGCCUACGGAAAGCUUUGUCCCAUCCUUGAAAAAUUGCUAAUGGGUUUGGAGAUACGAGGUGGAGAUGACUAGCAAUCAAACUCAAAGGUGGAAGUCACAUCGAGGCAGAUGAGCAGAUGAGGGGACCUAGAGAAGAAGAGAGGUGCAAGGAGAGCCCAGCCAGCAGGAACAUCUGCCCCAGUAGGCAGCACUGCCCCACAUCAGAGUCGAGGAAAGCAAAGCUCGGAUUGGAUAAAAGAAACUUGCAAACACGGAUGAAGGGAAAAGCUUCAUGACAUUGGAUUUGGCAGUGAUUCCUUGGAUAUGACCCCAAAAGCACAGAUAACGAAAGAAAAAAUAGUUAAAUUGUCUUCAUCAAAAUUAAAACUUUUGUACAUCAAAGAACUCUUUCAAAAGAGUGAAAAAGUCACAGAAUAAGAGAAAAUCAUAUACCUGAUAAAGAAUUAAUAUUCAGAGCCAGAUGCAGUGGCUCAUGCCUGUAAUCCCAGCACUUUGGGAGGCCAAGGCAGGCAGAUCACUUGAGAUCAGGAGUUCGAGAC